GCGACACUAGCUCAGUUGGUAGAGCGCAACCUUGCCAAGGUUGAGGUCACGAGUUAGAACCUCGUGUGUCGCUCCA
rnacentral:tRNA from 1 species